CGCAAAGUUGUUCGCCACUCGUCGGUUAUCGUUUAGCGUCCAACGAACGAAUGGAAAAAUCGACGAAGCUUCUUGCCCAGACGCCACUGCUUGAGGAACCAGCGCAGCUUGAGGCUGAUCAACAGCAGGCUCUGCUUCAGCUGUUGGGACUCCUGCACCAUCAAGUUUUUCUCUUGGCUCCAAAACUUCUGUUGUAAUCGCGUCUGCAGGCUCAGGCUCUGCAGCUGGAAGUCUCGCCGCAAUAAGGCCUUCUGGUGCUCCUCCUGCAGCUGGGGGUGAAGAGAGAGAGAAGGUUCGUGGGAGUGAUCCAGUCAGGAAAGCAGAAGAUGAUAGUGAACGAAGGAGUGAAGACCAAUUUAUCACAGGCUGUUGGGGCCGAAGGUCGCAGCUGUACAAACAUACUAAGAGCGCACCUGUGCGAGUUUUUGGGAGUGGUUCUGGGUGUCCUCCCUGCGUGCCUGUCUCUCCUGGGACAGCUGCUCCUGGACUCCCCGAGCUGUCUCCCUGGCCUCAGACAGCAGGGCUUGCAGCUUGUCAACCUGCUCCUGCUGCUGCACACAAGGAGCGUGAGGGUGUCAGGCAUAAAACAAAUACCCCUUUUAAACCCGUUUCGUCUGGACUGCCCCAGUUGUUAUUCUUCGCCUUUACUGGGCUUUGGAGAUGUAUCAGACUGAGAGUUUGCCCUCAUGCUGAGCUUAAAUCCCAGCUUAAAUUCAGGUGCAGCACAACCAGGGAGUGCCUGCAAGACCUUAACUGGAAAAAGUCACAUUCAUGUGUGUGCUCAGUGAUGUACAC